rnacentral:rRNA from 1 species
GAUGAACGCUGGCGGCGUGCUUAAUACAUGCAAGUCGAACGCUGAAGGAGGAGUUUGCUCUUCUGGAUGAGUUGCGAACGGGUGAGUAACGCGUAGGUAACCUGCCUGGUAGUGGGGGAUAACUAUUGGAAACGAUAGCUAAUACCGCAUGACAACAGUUAUUGCAUGAUGACUGUUUGAAAGGGGCAACUGCUCCGCUACCAGAUGGAGCUGCGUUGCAUUAGCUUGUUGGUGUGGUAACGGCUCACCAAGGCGACGAUACAUAGCCGAACUGAGAGGGUGAUCAGCCACACUGAGAGGGUGACACGGCCCAUACUCCUACGGGAGGCAGCAGUAGGGAAUCUGCGGCAAUGGGCGGAAGUCUGACCAAGCAGCGCCGCAGGAGUAAAGAGGAUUGUCGGAUCGGAAAGCACGGUUGUAGGAGAGUAACGAGUGUGAGAGUGGAAAGAUCACACUGUGACGGUAACGUACCAAGAAGCGACGGCUAACUACGUG